GAUGUGAUCGCAUCCUGCAUUCUCCAAGUUAGCUGAAAUCCCCCGCGCACCGAAAAAUGCACAGACAUUCCCGCGAUCACUUAAGAUUUCUUAGAAGCUCUCGGCCUCCCCACUUAUCCAUUCGAUAACACCUUCAGGGUCGCCUCGUAUGAAGUUCUCAUCGGUAGAAUAGGCGCCCACGUUGGCGAAGCUAGCUUUUAUUUUCUCCACGCAGCCCAAGGAUUUUUCAAAUCAUCUUUCCUUGGAUGCGCAAAGUUCUUCAACAGUUUUCUCUAAAUGGUUUUUUCCAAUAUUCGCUGAUCUCUCGGUUAGCUUAUGCAAGUGCGCAUUUUUCUUUGGCUUCUGCCAACUGUUUCCGAAGGUCUUCAAUUUCAUUCUUUUGAAUUUCAGCUUGACCUUGAAACUAGCUUCAUCUUCUUUCACUUUGUUUGCCAAUGAAAUCAAGAUUUUGUCUUUUUCAAGACCUUCGUUUCUUAAUUCGAUUACCUCUGAACGAAGGUUGUUCAGAGCCAUCGUAUAUCCUUCAUCUUCAAUGUUUUUCUGUGCCCUAAGGGCAUUACUGAGAAUCAGGCCCUGCAAGUGGAGGAAAGAGUAAGUAUGACAAAUAAAAUACCCCAUUUUUAAAUUCAAAUGUAACUCUUAUACCUUUAUGCUUUUAUACGCUAAGCUGACAGUAAGCUCAUCCAUAGAUAAGAUUGAAAGGCCAUCUUCCAGCUUCGGGAAUCCAAUGCUUCUACCUAUCUCCCGGCAAACGAAUAUUUCUUUAUUAUCUGGGAGACAGUACAAAAAAUCUUCUUCCCCACUGCCAUUAAACACUAGUGCCCCUUCGGGUAUUUCAAUUUUUGGGCAUAGUGUCGUGCUUCUAGCUUUUCUUCUUGAGAAAGUCCCUUUCCCGAAGCAUGACCAAUGAUGUAAUCAGUGCUUUCUUUUGAAGCUUCUGGAGCAGGAGUUUUAACCUUUUCAGACGCAAUUUGCUCUGUCGCCUUUUCUUCAACUACGACAGGCUCUGUCUCAGUGGGCACUGAAGGCCCAACUUCGGUUUCAGCCUAAAUUGUUGCAGCUUCGACUUCUGCCUGCUUCGUUUCAACUUUGGGUUGUGCCUUGGAAGCUUCGGCAAUUUUUCUUGUAGGAGCAGGACUCAAGGUUUUUGCUGUUUCUAACACAACAUCUAGCACAUUCGCCAUCCUUCUCCUCUUAGGAGUUGCGGCAAAACUCUUUUGUGCCUUCGGCACUGUUGCCUCUGUCGAAGGGCUCAAAAUCUCUGGCAUUUUUGUUAUUUCAUCAAUUUUUGACACUUUAGCCAAUCAUCAUUUGGUUCAUCAAACUUAUCCCCAAACCUGAAUGUAUACUUCAGCCGGACCAAACCAUCUUCGCUAGAGUUAGUGAUGGUCUCCUUCGGCAUCUCCCAGUUUUCCACAAGCGGCCAUACUCUGAAUGCUAUAUGUUCUUGAAUUAGAUCUCUUGUGCCAAUCAAGGAGCAAACAGUACUAAAGGCCUUCUGACACGCUUCGACGACGUCAUCAAUUUUGUCCUUCGACCUUCGCAGGCUGAAGCGGGACCAGAUGGGACGCAUAAUGAUUUCUUUUAUGUCUUCCCUCAUCUUUAGAUCAUUCUUCACAUUAAACCACUCUUCCAUCUAGGCCUCAGGCCAUCUUUUCCGAAAUGUGGGCAAUGGGUGGCUUGCGUUAGGGCGAGCGAUAAAUCCAUAACAACCGAAGUUGUUGUGGUACUGUUCUUUACCCAUGGCCUUCGUCUCAUAUAGAAGUUCAUGCAUACAGUAGAAGCACUUCGCGCUUGGCUCUAGCCCUUGACUCCUUACUGCCCAGACAAAAAUCCCCAUUCUUAUCAUGGCUUCGGGGGUGAUCUGAUGAAGGAAGAUUUGGUAGGUCUUCAGCACUUCAACUACAAACUUGCUCAAAGGGAACCGAAGUCCAGCUUUGAAGAAGCUUCGGUAAAUCACAACUUCAUUCUCCUCAGGGGCAGGGACGUUGUUGUCUCCGCCAACCCUCACAAUAGACAUAUCCCGAAAGUACCUUCCUCUCAUGUUCUCAAGAUGACUCUGCUUGAUGGUCGAUUUUCGAAGAUUGAAUGACUUGGCCGCUAGGGCCGAUCCUUAGAAUCUUCAUCCCCACUUUCCGCAUCAUAGCUAUCGAUGUCACCAGUAUCUUCAGACAAACCUUCCAGUAUCUCUUUAGUAAUUUUCUCUGUGUUUGUUUUUGCCAUUGAUUCAAUAAAUCCAGCAACAUAAGGAUCCACAGACUUCUUCUCCUCAAACAGCUUCGCUUCUUCGGUCAACUUCGUUUCCGCAACAAUCUUCUUUUCCUGAGACAUCUUUUCUCCAGACAUGGUGAAAACAUGUUUUUUAAACCGAAGUUCAGAGAGCUUGAAAAUCUAACAAGCGCUAGUGAGCAAGAGCUAAAAGAUUGAGAAAAUAAUGCAAAUGGCACAAGCAGCGUAUCAAAUGCAGUUGGUGUGAGUUCCUAUUUAUACGCCCAGUACGCUGCAAGUUGGAGGGCCCCGUCUGUCAUUGACUGUUGCUAUUCUAGCAAAGGGAAGGUGUUUUUUCGGACCUUCGGCUUAAGGCCUUCGUCCAUGUCACAAUCUGAAUUCGUUAUCUUAACAAAUUAAUACUGCGAGGGGCUACUGUUGGGGGCCUUCGUCUUCCGAAGGUCCUCAAAAACAUGAUUUAACAAUGUUUUUCAAGUGUAACAUAUGAGCAGGUACCUUCGGACUCGGGUUAAAAGCAUAUACGAUGUGAAAAGCAUGGUCGUGACGAAGGCUGAUGUUGCUCUGAAGCUACGCGCAAGGGAGCUUCGGCUUAAUGGCGGAAAAAGGAACCGACUUAAAGGGGAAAAGGCUAUCUAGCUCCCGUUGGGUUGUCCAUAAGUCAAUAGUAAAUGUGAAGGGCAUGAAUGUAAAUUUACACAGGCUGCGCCCUGUGCCUAUAAAUAGAUGAACAGUACCCCCGUACUGUUCACGCUGACUUGUACUCGCUUGUGCGUCAUGCUUGUACUUUCAUCUUCUGUCAAGCCGAAGGUACAAAUGUAAUUCAAUAUUGUUUCUAUUCUUCCAUGAUAAUAUAAUAAAGAUGAAUUAAUAAUGUUAUAUGAUUGUUCAUGUUGUCUCUUAUAUUUCAUAUGCUUCUUCUUUUAUUAACAUAUACCGCGAUGAUGAAGGUAUGUCCUUCACAACCUUCGUCUGAAGAUCAUUAUAUCCUAAGGGAAAUAAUGCUUCGAAGGACGAAGGGUAUUAACCUUUAACAUUUGUGUUGCCUUGUUCUUAACUCAUAGCAUUUGAUAACAAGUGACCAACAAUAAGAAUGUUAGAUUAAAUGCUAACAUAGAAGAAUUAAAUGCUUGCAAACCCUCUACAUCUACUGUUGAGCAUGUUCCCAUUUGCACUAGAUGUAGAGAUAUUAAUGUUGAUGCUAUAGAUGAUCACCUUGCCAUGAUUAAGAAACAAAAUGAUCACAUAGGUCAAUUAAAUGCUAAAAUUGCCGAGCAUGAGCUCGAAAAUGAAAAAUUUAAAUUUGCUCGUAGCAUGCUUUAUAAUGGGAGAUGCCCCGACAUUAAGGAUGGCAUUGGUUUCCAAUAGGGGAGAAAUGUCAAGCUUAAUGCCCCUAAGAAACUAUCUAACUUUGUAAAGGGCAAGGCUCCCAUGGUUCAGGAUAGUAAGGGUUACAUUUUAUAUCCUGCAAACUAUCCCGAACAUAAGAUUAGGAAGAUUCAUGCUAGGAAACCUCAUAAUGUUUCUCACCAUGCAUUUAUGUACAAAAAUGAGGCUUCUAGCUCUAGGCAUACCACACAUGUUAAAAUGCCUAGAAAGAAAAUUCAUGCUGCAUCAAAUGAGCAUAAUGUUUCUUUUAAAACUCUUGAUGCAUCAUAUGUGCUUACUAACAAAUCAGGCAAAAUAGUUGCCAAAUAUGUUGGGGGCAAACACAAGAGUCCAAAGACUUGUGUUUGGGUACCCAAGAUGCUUGUUUCUAACGUCAAAGGACCCAAGACUGUUUGGGUACCUAAGAACAAGGCCUAAAAUUGUUUUGUAGGUUUAUGCAUCCGGUGGUUCAAGUUGGAUAAUCGAUAGUGGGUGCACAAACCACAUGACAGGGGAGAAAAGAAUGUUCUCCUCCUAUGAGAAAAACGAAGAUCCCCAACGAGCUAUCACAUUCGGGGAUGGAAAUCAAGGAUUGGUCAAAGGAUUGGGUAAAAUUGCUUUAUCACCUGACCAUUCUAUUUCCAAUGUUUUUCUUGUAGAUUCUUUAGAUUACAAUUUGCUUUCAGUUUCUUAAUUGUGUAAAAUGGGCUACAACUGUCUAUUUACAGAUGUAGGUGUUACUGUCUUUAAAAGAAGUGAUGAUUCAAUAGCAUUUAAGGGAGUGUUAGAGGGUCAGCUAUAUUUAGUUGAUUUUAAUGAUAACAAAGCUGAACUCGACACUUACUUAAUUGCUAAGACUAAUAUGGGUUGGCUCUGGCAUCACCGACUUGUCCAUGUUGGGAUGAAGAAUCUUCACAAGCUUCUAAAGGGAGAGCACAUUUUAGGACUAACCAAUGUUCAUUUUGAGAACGACAGAAUUUGUAGCGCAUGCCAAGCAGGAAAGCAAGUUGGCACUCAUCAUCCACACAAGAACAUCAUGACAACGGACAGGCCGCUCGAGCUACUCCACAUGGAUCUAUUCGGCCCGAUCUCUUACAUAAGCAUCGGCGGAAGUAAGUACUGUCUAGUUAUCGUGGAUGAUUAUUCUCGCUUCACUUGGGUGUUCAUUUUGCAGGAAAAAUCACAAACCCAAGAGACCUUAAAAGGAUUCUUAAGAUGGGCUCAAAACGAGUUUGGUUUAAGGACAAAAAAGAUAAGAAGCGACAAUGGGACGGAGUUCAAGAAUUCACAAAUUGAAGGUUUUCUUGAGGAAGAGAGCAUCAAGCAUGAGUUCUCUUCUCCCUACACACCUCAACAAAAUGGUGUAGUGGAGAGGAAGAAUAGACCUCUACUGGACAUGGCAAGAACCAUGCUUGAUGAGUACAAGACACCGGACAGGUUUUGGGCCGAGGCGAUUAACACCGCCUGCUACUCCAUCAAUUGGCUCUACCUUCACCGAAUCCUCAAGAAGACAUCAUAUGAACUCCUCACUGGUAAAAAGCCCAAUAUUUCAUAUUUAAGAGUUUUUGGGAGUAAAUGCUUUAUUCUUGUUAAAAGAGGUAGAAAAUCUAAAUUUGCUCCUAAGGCUGUAGAAGGCUUUUUACUAGGAUAUGACUCAAACACAAGGGCAUAUAGAGUCUUCAACAAAUCCGCUGGAUAAAUUGAGGUUUCUUGUGACAUUGUGUUUGAUGAGACUAAUGGCUCCCAAGUGGAGCAAGUUGAUCUUGAUGAAUUAGAUGAUGAAGAGGCUCCAUGCGUCGCACUUAGGAACAUGUCCAUUGGGGAUGUGUGUCCUAAAGAAUCCGAAGAGCCCACACAAGCACGAGAUGAACCGUCAUCUUCCAAUCAAGCUUCUCAACCCACCCAAGAUGAGGAACAGGCUCAAGAUGAUGAAAAUGAAGAUCAGGAGGAUGAGCCACCUCAAGAGGAGGACAAUGAUCAAGGGGGACAUGAAGAUAAUGUAACCAAGGAAGAUGGUCAAGAAAUACAGGGUCAAAGACCGCCACACCUAAGAGCCCACCAAGCAAUUCAACGAGAUCACCCCGUCUACUCCAUCCUUGGUGACUUUCAUAAGGGGGUAACCACUAGAUCUCGAGUUGCACAUUUUUGUGAGCAUUACUCUUUUGUGUUCUCUAUUGAGUCUUACAGGGUGGAGGAUGCACUAAGAGAUUCAGAUUGGGUGCUGGCUAUGCAAGAGGAGCUCAACAACUUCACGAGGAAUGAGGUAUGGCAUUUAGUUCCACGUCCUAAUCAAAAUGUUGUAGGUACCAAAUGGGUAUUCCGCAACAAGCAAGACGAGCAUGGUGUGGUGAGAAGGAACAAAGCCCGACUUGUGGCCAAAGGUUACCCACAAGUCGAAGGUUUGGACUUUGAUGAAACUUAUGCACCCGUGGCUAGGCUUGAGUCAAUUCGUAUAUUACUUGCCUAUUGUGGCGGAACCGCCCGAAUUAUUCCAGCUUAAGUGCCCAAGUCGCACCCUUAAGGGCAGCAACGCACUUAAACAGGAAUAACCCGUCAGUCCCUCGGAUCUAGUCCGAUAAAGCCACUUACCAGGAUCGAAUACCACUAGCUCACACGAAGGUGAGGCACAGAGAAAUACAAUAAAACAUAAUACCACAAAUUUAAUAAGUAUCAUUAGUGAUUACAUUAUCGGAGUUUCAGAAAUAAUAACCAUAAAUUUUAAUGCAGCGGAAAUAACUAACGGAGAAGAACCGAGUAACAUGGCGAAGCCUGGCCACGCUACUCCUCCUGGUCCUCUCCUGCGGAAGCAGUAACCCACUCGACCGUCUAUCCCGGUGGCAAGGAUGGAGGCCAAGUCACACCAAUAACCAAUCAACCUAAUGAGUACCUGCAAAAAUUAUGCCACAAGCAAGGCUGAGUAUACUAAUACUCAGCUAGACUUACCCGGUGUGAGGAGUCUACUCCUCUACCUCUAGACAUGCAGCUGUUUGGCUGUGGGGUUUGGUUGCCAAAAGCACUAGCUGAGUUUCUAAGUCAAGUUUUAACUUUGUCAAUUUAAGUGUGACUCUCUUAAGGCUAAAAGUGUACUAUCUACUCAUACAUAGUAGCAAGCAUUAUUAGCAAUCAACAGCUUAUAUCAACUCAUCAUAUUUCCACUUGUUACUCAAUGCAGUACAAUGGAUCAAGCAGUCUCAUUAGCUGCGAGAAGCAGACGAUUCGAAUCGAGUUUUUAUCCUUGCAAGGUAAACCUAAACACACGACAUGUAGGGGCACUCUGUCCCCACACACAUCAACCGUCCCCAUCGAUUCCCUGGCAACAGAAAGGGGCUCACCGCCUUGGCGUACAAUGCCUCACUGACCCCGACUGGCCGUCGUGCAGUGACCGCACUUGUACCCACCAUAACCGGAAUGGGAGACCUCGUCUCAGGUCGCGUGAGGAGGGCAAUCUGCGGGCAGGUUCACUCAGGUACUAGGCUUACCGAUUUACCAUAUUUCUCAGUAUGUGUUUAGUACGUUCAAACGCUUGAUACAGGUAUCCGCACGUUAAUCCUUAUUCCAUUUUCCAUCUCGUAGACCACGCGUCCCCAUGGACCCGUGUCCACAGACCAUCAUCAUUCUGUUAUCAAAGUGAAUACAACCAAUUCCUGACCUCGCGCGAGUGCUAGAAAAAUCACUCGACUUCUACCGAGAUCCCUAAUUAGCAAGGCAGCUACUCGACCUAGCAUACUAGUAUCCAUCUCAAAGGUAUCCUGAGUUCAUGCAACUAGGGUUUCAGACAACUCCUACACUUAAGUGCAUAGUACAAGCCUACAAACAUUAAGUGCAGUAAAAUAGCAUAUAUAACGGUUAUGCAUAAAACCGGGGCUUGCCUUUAAUUUGACACUUAGAUAGUGUUUGCUGGGGAGAUACUCGCUCGGCGAGCAUCCACUAGUUAAGUUCAUCCUUCCUUGGUUCCACCAUCUGCAUCUUGUGGUUGGCACCACAUCACUGGCUCAAUCAUCAUCUCUCGGUCCUAUAUGAGGUGCAAGAUGCAUAUGUAUGAAUAUAAUGAAAGUAGCACAAAAUAUUUCAAUAUAUGAUUGCGAACUAACACUAAUUAGUAAGACACUGCAACGACUAUACGCAAGCGCUAGCUAGUCGCACGUUAUCGGCGUUCAUCAUUAAAACCAUUAAAAGAUGACAACAUGUUAUUUAUUUACGCAACACAACUAUGACAUUACAGGUACGCGCAUUUUAUUUGUUUGGAUACGACUUUUCAUUAGUUCUCCUAUUGAUCGCGCACAAGCCUCAUCGACAACACAAAUCCAAUAGAGGACAUAAGCGUCAAUGUCUAAGGAACUCCUAUAUCGCGUCACUAGAUAAAGAAACAUAUAAAACAAGACACACAUGUCAUCUCUAGCUUAGCCAUGGCAAGUCUACAUUACUUAAGAGCAAACCAAACAUUUUUAGCGAGAAGGGUGAACUAAACAAUCAAAAGCGCAUAUGCAGAUUUUCGGGACAGCAACACAGCAGCUACUUGUUUUAAUCAUAAAUUUUCAAAUAUUAACCCAAAAAUAACAAACUAGGACUUUCUGGAAAGCUUAAAACGUGCUCUACAACUUUGGUAUUUUUACCUCCACAGGAUUCAGCACUUAGCAAGGUUAAAAAGUGCUAACACAACAGCGCUGUCCAGAUUUGGACAGAUUCAGACUUAUGACUUUAAAAAUUCAUAACUGAAGAUUCAGGCAUCCAAACAAGGUGAUCCUAGACUUUCUGGAAAUGUAAUAAAAUUUUCUACAUAUCAUUUAUAAACAUCUUAAGGUGAUUCCAUAUUUAACUAAGGAUAAAAUACACUAGAAGGCUUUGCUGUCCAGAAUCGGACAGAUUCAGUCUUUAGACUUUAAACAUCCACAACUUAAUCUUCAGACCACCAAAAAGAGUGAUCCAAGACUUUUUGGAAAGCUCAGAAAAAGAACUACAUAACUUUUAUAAUCACCAAGAAUUGAUUCUAUGUUGAACUGAAUCAAACAAUUCAGUUUCCGAAAUCUGUUCUGUCAGUGGACAGAACACAGCAACCAAGUUGUAAAAUUCAUAACUCUUAAACCGUCAGGCCUUUAGUUAUGAAAUUUUAACACAAGCAAGAUCAGAAAAGCAUCUACAGCUUUCUUAUAAUGACCAUGAACAGAUUGCAACAUUAAAUUGAACAAACAAUACAGUUUCUGAAAUCUGUACAGAAUUUGGACAGAUUCAGUUACUAAAUUUGUAAAAAGCAUAACUCCUAAACUGUCAGACCUAUGGCUGUCAAAUUUUAACACCAGCAAGGUAAUAAAGUUAUCUACCACUUUUCUAUAGCACAUAUCUACAGAAAACACAAUUUAGUUCAUCAAACAGACAACACAACUAAAACAGCGCGUGCAGUCCAAAACAGCAAUCAACGAAUUUCAGUUUCUAUAUAAUUCAAGAAUUGCCAUGAUCUAGAGAUUUGAAUUAUUCUAACACUUUACCAUUUGUUAGAGUUAAAACAAUCAAUUGAGCACUAACAAGUAGACUUACAAAUUUUAUCCAAAUCAUUUAGUGCACUAAAAUUACCACAUUCAUUUAACAAACGCAUUCACCACAAUCAUCAAAUCCGGCACAUAUUUAUAUCGAAGCGCCUUUCACCCAUUAGUCCGCAUUUUAACUUAGACACCACAUGAGCACUACUAAUUUUUACUUGCGACCAUAACCAUACGCAUUUAGACCACAACAAGUAAUUCAUCGUAACUACGAGCUUAACCAACGCCAUCUAACUAGUCCAUUAACCAAAGGGAUGGCAUAGCCCGCCAUACGACAUACACAUCAGCUUGCCUAUUAUUAACGCAGUCCGAGACACCACACCUAUUUAUAUCACAAUCACUUACGCCAUCGACUCCUACUUGACAUGAGUUGGCUAAUGACGUGACCAUUUCCCAAUUACCAUCACACACCACCCUUCGCCAUUUUUGGAUGACCGGCACGACACACAGCUAUUGUAAUACAUCUUCAAGUUCAUUCAACCCAUCAGUAGAGCACUAGCGCAUUCCAGAAAAUUUCCUAAGGCUACGACGACAAGGCAUCGACCUUAUCAUGCACAUAAAAGAAUCACAAGCGUGUUUACGGAACCUAUCGGUUAACUGGAUCGUCACACUACCCAUGUUCUUUGCCUUUCCAAUUUUUAUCGCACCACAAGAAUCAUCCCCAUUUGCCAAUGACACUAAUAAUACCUAUUGACCUAUGGUUUACCACCCGAGCACCGUUACACGCCGCACAUUAGUUUCUAACAUGAUUCUCGCAUAACUCGUAAUUCAACUACUCACUAGCCAUAAAUCACGCACGACCACUACCACAUCGACCGGUUAAUUUAUUUGGACACCGCCUAGCGUACCACGAGUACCCCGCAUUUUGACUCGACAUAUAAACAUAGAGGAGGCGAUGACUACUUCGUCAUGUCACCACCUCUCUAUUUAAGCAAAGACCAUUUCCACCUACAACGACCGAACAUUCCUAUCGAGCACACCUUAUAUUUUCCUGUCUCGCAUACGACCAUGUCAUGGCGUGCACUCGAGACACUUCACUCAAUGUGGCGCGACCACUAAUAUAAAUGAACUCCGACACUCAUGACUUAACGAUACAUCCCCCAUGCAAACUAGCAUUCUCUACACUACCCGCCACGUCAAUAAAUAUAUCUCCUCUAAAAUUACGAAUCCCAUCACAUUGCUUAAAACAAAUACACUUUUCACAUAAACACAUAUCGAUGCAUUUCCCAAAACAAAAUCCACAUUUUGUAACUUAGUUUCGCAUGAAACAACGCAUCGCAUAUUUUCCGAUCAAAAUAAAAAUAUCCGAGUUCUUCUCUACUUCAUUUUCUUCUCUACACGCGUCCAUUCAUACAAACAUAUUUUCACACGCAUAUAAACACGCAGGCACAUCAUCGACCGAAUACGUAAAUAAAACAAAUCGCAAUCAUUCAAGGCGAACAACCUGGCCGAAAUCCGAUUGGAGUUGCGCAUGCAUGUCAUCAGUUUGGGCUCUUUGCCGACGAGCGAUGCGUGUGGCGUGACGUCGACAAGGGGAUGCGAGCAUGGCACAAUUUAUUACACGAUUUAUUGGUGCGGUCAUUUAAUCGAACACGAAAAGCGCAGGACAGCUAGUAGCUCACCAAGGUUGUUGUUCACUGCACAGAUUGACGACUAGCGGAGCUCGAUGCCGACGUGCUGGGAAACGAUGGCAGCCAGGGCCGUGUAGAUCGACGGGGCUCGCUGCUGCGGACCGGCAUUGCUGCGCAGAUCGGCUGACGCCGCACGGAGAGGGCCGAGCACAGGGGUGGAUGGCGGCCAGAUGGGGAGCUCACGGCUAUGGGGGAAAUGGAGCUGCGCAGGGAGAAAACAGGGGGCGUCCAUUACAGGGGGAUCCGGCCAUGGCGAGAGCAGUUUGGGGGGAGGGAGAUGUUGCUGCUGGGCGCCGGCAAGGGGUAGAAGAAAGGGAGCGCUGGUCUGCAAUAGAGAGGCGAUGAGCUAGAGGUAGAAGGCAGAGGUCCGGCCAUGGUGAAGAAGCUCUCUGCUGGAAAAAUCUGGGCGUCACGGAGGAAAGCAGAGGCGUCGCGCCAUGGCUGGGAGGUGCCUGAGCGCCGAGUUUUUGAGGAGGGAGAGGGAUGGCGUGGGAGAGGGAAUGGGUGGAGAUGCAGUGGAUCUCGGGUGCCUAGAGGCUGACAGCGAUGGAGGCUUGGGCGAGCUCGGCCAUGGAGCUCCCGCGCGCAGGGAAGAAAAAGCUCCCUGCUGCCGACGCUGUGGAUAAGGGGGCGCUCCCAUGGGGGCCCUGCUCCUGCGAUGGCGUGCUGCUGCAUCCCAGGGAGCCGAGGGGGAAGAAUGGCGCUGUUGCUGGGUGGCCAUGGUUGGAGCAGAGAGACCCGCGCCCAUGGAGCAGGGAGGGCGUCGCUGGUGGCUGUUGCUGCCGUGAAGAAGAAGAGGCAGGGAAGAAAGAAGGUGGCGGCUGGGAAAAAUGGAGGGGUGGGAGUGCAAAAUUGCCUCCACUUGCAAGGAGAUGGCUCCUAUUUAUAGAGAGGCACUAGGGCUAGGGUUUUCUUAGUGGGCUGGGCCGGAUUUGGCCCAAAUACGUACUCGGGCCGCGCUAAUUUAUUUUUCGGAAUAAAAAUGCUCGUGCGGAAUUCGUCUGUACGCGGAACAGAGUGAAACAGAGUUCGGACGAACAGACAAUUGAACGAUUAAUUCGGCCGAGAGUUUGAUUUGAAUUCGCUCGGAAAUAAUUUCUCGCGCACUAUUUUAGAAAUAAAUGUUUCUCUCAGACUUCCGAUCGGCUUCGGAUUUUUAGUCGGAGAAACCGAAUCGUGACAAUUUAAAAUUGCUGUCGAUACGGGGUUUUGAAUUCGGUUCGGACAUGAGAUAUUUAGCUGAGUCGAGUAAGAAUUAAUUAGAGGACGACAUAUCGAGUAUUCCGUCUGAGAGUACGGAUCCAAAUAAAAUAGUCGGGCAUCAGUCGAAGGCCGAGGAAUUGGAUUUGGGCACAGCUCGACUAGCAACUGUCGAGCGUUUGAUUACAUGAGCUUUAGACGAGAUUUAUAAUUCGAGAAUGAUCUUCGAAUCUGCAUGAGUUCCGAGAAUUAAAAGUUUUAACAUGCUCCAAAAUUGGUUGUUUCUCGCGAUCGAUUAACUCCGAAUUCGGUGAACUUCCAUGAGAAGCCUGAUAGACAGAGAUAGACACGAUCGAGAAAUAGAAAUUUUCACUGAGCAUCCGAGAUCAGGAUAACUCCCCUGACAUAACGCGAAAUAGACACCUGGGAUGUCACAGCCUUCCCCCCUUAAAAGGAAUCUCGUCCCGAGAUUCGAAUGAGGAUCUUCAAGGGUGGAGAAGCAUGUAACUCCCAGACUGAAGAUAGAUGCAAAUUCAUGAGAGGGUAUCUGAUAAGAUAUUGGAGACAGAUUUGGAUAGAAUAUCGCGGCAUGCUGAGACAAAAUGCAGCGAUCACUCUGAGAGAAUGUUCACAAAAGAUAGCACAUCAGUAUAGUCUCGUAAUGGAUCACGACUAUUAACCAUGAUACCGGCGCGUGCCGAGCAGCUCAACCAUGUGUGCGCGCCCACAGGAGGCUCUCGGUUUCGUCGCGGCACCAUCAGUCAUUAGUCAUGACACCAUUACCAAACACAACCAAUACGGAAUUCACAUAGCACAAAUAGAGGGAGCCCAUGAGAGUAUGGCUCAGAAAAUAAGAAUGUGACCGGAGCAGAAGUAGAGAUUGCUGGCAAAAAGAGCAUCACGUGAGAAUUUAUUUAACUCAGAGAACUAUUUUAUGAUCAUCACGGGGAUUAUCAACCAAAGAUUGAUAUGAUACUUAAUAAGAGGAUGAACCAACCAUGAGAUCGAGAUUGAUAAGCUUUUAGAGACAUGAGAGAUCCAAAGAUAACAGCAACAUCCAUUGAACUAAAUGGAUACGCCGUUUAAAGAUAAAAUUGAUAAAACAACUUCAUGAUCCUCGAAGAACGAGUAUAAGAAUUAUCAGAAUUGAAAGAUUUAGGCAGAUCAACAUCCGAUACUUGAGAACGGGUUAGAGUAGAUAACCAGAUAACGGGGCAGAAUCAAUAGGGGAUCCCGAGAUUCGGAUGAUAAAGCAAACAUGAUUCAUAAGAAAAAGGAUUACCAGAUCCAGGUGAAAGGAGAGGUAGGCAACAAGAUCAGCUGGAUGAUCAAUAAAAAUGCUAUGAAGUUUUAGGAGCAAGAAUUUUAUGGAAAGAAACAUGGUCUUGAUAGGGUUUGGGCAACUAGACACCAAACAACAAUUUUUUUUCGACAAAACCACGUGCACAAGGAAGUUUUAGCCAAUUUAGGGGUCAAGCUAUGGGUGUCUACAAGUCGUGCAGGUGCAACUUCAAGGGGGAAACACACAAGGGUUAGAAAACACCAACACAAGCAUGUUUUUUUUUGCAAGGGUUUCACUUGCUAAACUCAAGGUUGUUUGGAGGGGGAAAAAUCUUUUCAUGAGCAGAACAGACAACAAAAUUAUUUUUUUUGGAAGAAGGGUUGAAUAAUCACAAUACCACCUAGAUAGCAAGACAAGAGAAACACAUAGCACGACCUAACAAGACUUACCAAUCUAACACAAGGUAAGGCGUUUCUUUGCAGUUCAUAGCAAUACAAUACAUUAUUCACAAUUUCUUAUUAUUGGAAUAAAGGUGAGAGAAGCAUGUUGAUGCACAAGAGACAAUGAUGCGAUAAUCAUGAUGCAUGCUCAUUCUAGUCGUCUUCUCAGACCUAACUAAUUUUUCGGAUGCUUCUACAGCAUCCUUCCUAAUAGUAGUAGUAGCCUUUAUGGCCUAUAUAAAUAGCCACCUAGCUACCCAUCUAUUUCCUAAGGCUUCACGUCCUAGGUCUAACUUAUCGUCCUGAUAUCUAUCCAACUUUGGUUUUUAAGCAAGUUUUACUUUAGAAAAGGUUGGUAUUUAUGACUUAUUGACUUCUCUGUGAUGGUAUUCGCUCCGAUACCAGCUGUGGCGGAACCGCCCGAAUUAUUCCAGCUUAAGUGCCCAAGUCGCACCCUUAAGGGCAGCAACGCACUUAAACAGGAAUAACCCGUCAGUCCCUCGGAUCUAGUCCGAUAAAGCCACUUACCAGGAUCGAAUACCACUAGCUCACACGAAGGUGAGGCACAGAGAAAUACAAUAAAACAUAAUACCACAAAUUUAAUAAGUAUCAUUAGUGAUUACAUUAUCGGAGUUUCAGAAAUAAUAACCAUAAAUUUUAAUGCAGCGGAAAUAACUAACGGAGAAGAACCGAGUAACAUGGCGAAGCCUGGCCACGCUACUCCUCCUGGUCCUCUCCUGCGGAAGCAGUAACCCACUCGAUCGUCUAUCCCGGUGGCAAGGAUGGAGGCCAAGUCACACCAGCAACCAAUCAACCUAAUGAGUACCUGCAAAAAUUAUGCCACAAGCAAGGCUGAGUAUACUAAUACUCAGCUAGACUUACCCGGUGUGAGGAGUCUACUCCUCUACCUCUAGACAUGCAGCUGUUUGGCUGUGGGGUUUGGUUGCCAAAAGCACUAGCUGAGUUUCUAAGUCAAGUUUUAACUUUGUCAAUUUAAGUGUGACUCUCUUAAGGCUAAAAGUGUACUAUCUACUCAUACAUAGUAGCAAGCAUUAUUAGCAAUCAACAGCUUAUAUCAACUCAUCAUAUUUCCACUUGUUACUCAAUGCAGUACAAUGGAUCAAGCAGUCUCAUUAGCUGCGAGAAGCAGACGAUUCGAAUCGAGUUUUUAUCCUUGCAAGGUAAACCUAAACACACGACAUGUAGGGGCACUCUGUCCCCACACACAUCAACCGUCCCCAUCGAUUCCCUGGCAACAGAAAGGGGCUCACCGCCUUGGCGUACAAUGCCUCACUGACCCCGACUGGCCGUCGUGCAGUGACCACACUUGUACCCACCAUAACCGGAAUGGGAGACCUCGUCUCAGGUCGCGUGAGGAGGGCAAUCUGCGGGCAGGUUCACUCAGGUACUAGGCUUACCGAUUUACCAUAUUUCUCAGUAUGUGUUUAGUACGUUCAAACGCUUGACACAGGUAUCCGCACGUUAAUCCUUAUUCCAUUUUCCAUCUCGUAGACCACGCGUCCCCAUGGACCCGUGUCCACAGACCAUCAUCAUUCUGUUAUCAAAGUGAAUACAACCAAUUCCUGACCUCGCGCGAGUGCUAGAAAAAUCACUCGACUUCUACCGAGAUCCCUAAUUAGCAAGGCAGCUACUCGACCUAGCAUACUAGUAUCCAUCUCAAAGGUAUCCUGAGUUCAUGCAACUAGGGUUUCAGACAACUCCUACACUUAAGUGCAUAGUACAAGCCUACAAACAUUAAGUGCAGUAAAAUAGCAUAUAUAACGGUUAUGCAUAAAACCGGGGCUUGCCUUUAAUUUGACACUUAGAUAGUGUUUGCUGGGGGAGAUACUCGCUCGGCGAGCAUCCACUAGUUAAGUUCAUCCUUCCUUGGUUCCACCAUCUGCAUCUUGUGGUUGGCACCACAUCACUGGCUCAAUCAUCAUCUCUCGGUCCUAUAUGAGGUGCAAGAUGCAUAUGUAUGAAUAUAAUGAAAGUAGCACAAAAUAUUUCAAUAUAUGAUUGCGAACUAACACUAAUUAGUAAGACACUGCAACGACUAUACGCAAGCGCUAGCUAGUCGCACGUUAUCGGCGUUCAUCAUUAAAACCAUUAAAAGAUGACAACAUGUUAUUUAUUUACGCAACACAACUAUGACAUUACAGGUACGCGCAUUUUAUUUGUUUGGAUACGACUUUUCAUUAGUUCUCCUAUUGAUCGCACACAAGCCUCAUCGACAACACAAAUCCAAUAGAGGACAUAAGCGUCAAUGUCUAAGGAACUCCUAUAUCGCGUCACUAGAUAAAGGAACAUAUAAAACAAGACACACAUGUCAUCUCUAGCUUAGCCAUGGCAAGUCUACAUUACUUAAGAGCAAACCAAACAUUUUUAGCGAGAAGGGUGAACUAAACAAUCAAAAGCGCAUAUGCAGAUUUUCGGGACAGCAACACAGCAGCUACUUGUUUUAAUCAUAAAUUUUCAAAUAUUAACCCAAAAAUAACAAACUAGGACUUUCUGGAAAGCUUAAAACGUGCUCUACAACUUUGGUAUUUUUACCUCCACAGGAUUCAGCACUUAGCAAGGUUAAAAAGUGCUAACACAACAGCGCUGUCCAGAUUUGGACAGAUUCAGACUUAUGACUUUAAAAAUUCAUAACUGAAGAUUCAGGCAUCCAAACAAGGUGAUCCUAGACUUUCUGGAAAUGUAAUAAAAUUUUCUACAUAUCAUUUAUAAACAUCUUAAGGUGAUUCCAUAUUUAACUAAGGAUAAAAUACACUAGAAGGCUUUGCUGUCCAGAAUCGGACAGAUUCAGUCUUUAGACUUUAAACAUCCACAACUUAAUCUUCAGACCACCAAAAAGAGUGAUCCAAGACUUUUUGGAAAGCUCAGAAAAAGAACUACAUAACUUUUAUAAUCACCAAGAAUUGAUUCUAUGUUGAACUGAAUCAAACAAUUCAGUUUCCGAAAUCUGUUCUGUCAGUGGACAGAACACAGCAACCAAGUUGUAAAAUUCAUAACUCUUAAACCGUCAGGCCUUUAGUUAUGAAAUUUUAACACAAACAAGAUCAGAAAAGCAUCUACAGCUUUCUUAUAAUGACCAUGAACAGAUUGCAACAUUAAAUUGAACAAACAAUACAGUUUCUGAAAUCUGUACAGAAUUUGGACAGAUUCAGUUACUAAAUUUGUAAAAAGCAUAACUCCUAAACUGUCAGACCUAUGGCUGUCAAAUUUUAACACCAGCAAGAUAAUAAAGUUAUCUACCACUUUUCUAUAGCACAUAUCUACAGAAAAUACAAUUUAGUUCAUCAAACAGACAACACAACUAAAACAGCGCGUGCAGUCCAAAACAGCAAUCAACGAAUUUCAGUUUCUAUAUAAUUCAAGAAUUGCCAUGAUCUAGAGAUUUGAAUUAUUCUAACACUUUACCAUUUGUUAGAGUUAAAACAAUCAAUUGAGCACUAACAAGUAGACUUACAAAUUUUAUCCAAAUCAUUUAGUGCACUAAAAUUACCACAUUCAUUUAACAAACGCAUUCACCACAAUCAUCAAAUCCGGCACAUAUUUAUAUCGAAGCGCCUUUCACCCAUUAGUCCGCAUUUUAACUUAGACACCACAUGAGCACUACUAAUUUUUACUUGCGACCAUAACCAUACGCAUUUAGACCACAACAAGUAAUUCAUCGUAACUACGAGCUUAACCAACGCCAUCUAACUAGUCCAUUAACCAAAGGGAUGGCAUAGCCCGCCAUACGACAUACACAUCAGCUUGCCUAUUAUUAACGCAGUCCGAGACACCACACCUAUUUAUAUCACAAUCACUUACGCCAUCGACUCCUACUUGACAUGAGUUGGCUAAUGACGUGACCAUUUCCCAAUUACCAUCACACACCACCCUUCGCCAUUUUUGGAUGACCGGCACGACACACAGCUAUUGUAAUACAUCUUCAAGUUCAUUCAACCCAUCAGUAGAGCACUAGCGCAUUCCAGAAAAUUUCCUAAGGCUACGACGACAAGGCAUCGACCUUAUCAUGCACAUAAAAGAAUCACAAGCGUGUUUACGGAACCUAUCGGUUAACUGGAUCGUCACACUACCCAUGUUCUUUGCCUUUCCAAUUUUUAUCGCACCACAAGAAUCAUCCCCAUUUGCCAAUGACACUAAUAAUACCUAUUGACCUAUGGUUUACCACCCGAGCACCGUUACACGCCGCACAUUAGUUUCUAACAUGAUUCUCGCAUAACUCGUAAUUCAACUACUCACUAGCCAUAAAUCACGCACGACCACUACCACAUCGACCGGUUAAUUUAUUUGGACACCGCCUAGCGUACCACGAGUACCCCGCAUUUUGACUCGACAUAUAAACAUAGAGGAGGCGAUGACUACUUCGUCAUGUCACCACCUCUCUAUUUAAGCAAAGACCAUUUCCACCUACAACGACCGAACAUUCCUAUCGAGCACACCUUAUAUUUUCCUGUCUCGCAUACGACCAUGUCAUGGCGUGCACUCGAGACACUUCACUCAAUGUGGCGCGACCACUAAUAUAAAUGAACUCCGACACUCAUGACUUAACGAUACAUCCCCCAUGCAAACUAGCAUUCUCUACACUACCCGCCACGUCAAUAAAUAUAUCUCCUCUAAAAUUACGAAUCCCAUCACAUUGCUUAAAACAAAUACACUUUUCACAUAAACACAUAUCGAUGCAUUUCCCAAAACAAAAUCCACAUUUUGUAACUUAGUUUUCGCAUGAAACAACGCAUCGCAUAUUUUCCGAUCAAAAUAAAAAUAUCCGAGUUCUUCUCUACUUCAUUUUCUUCUCUACACGCGUCCAUUCAUACAAACAUAUUUUCACACGCAUAUAAACACGCAGGCACAUCAUCGACCGAAUACGUAAAUAAAACAAAUCACAAUCAUUCAAGGCGAACAACCUGGCCGAAAUCCGAUUGGAGUUGCGCAUGCAUGUCAUCAGUUUGGGCUCUUUGCCGACGAGCGAUGCGUGUGGCGUGACGUCGACAAGGGGCUGCGAGCAUGGCACAGUUUAUUACACGAUUUAUUGGUGCGGUCAUUUAAUCGAACACGAAAAGCGCAGGACAGCUAGUAGCUCACCAAGGUUGUUGUUCACUGCACAGAUUGACGACUAGCGGAGCUCGAUGCCGACGUGCUGGGAAACGAUGGCAGCCAGGGCCGUGUAGAUCGACGGGGCUCGCUGCUGCGGACCGGCAUUGCUGCGCAGAUCGGCUGACGCCGCACGGAGAGGGCCGAGCACAGGGGUGGAUGGCGGCCAGAUGGGGAGCUCACGGCUAUGGGGGAAAUGGAGCUGCGCAGGGAGAAAACAGGGGGCGUCCAUUACAGGGGGAUCCGGCCAUGGCGAGAGCAGUUUGGGGGAGGGAGAUGUUGCUGCUGGGCGCCGGCAAGGGGUAGAAGAAAGGGAGCGCUGGUCUGCAAUAGAGAGGCGAUGAGCUAGAGGUAGAAGGCAGAGGUCCGGCCAUGGUGAAGAAGCUCUCUGCUGGAAAAAUCUGGGCGUCACGGAGGAAAGCAGAGGCGCCGCGCCAUGGCUGGGAGGUGCCUGAGCGCCGAGUUUUUGAGGAGGGAGAGGGAUGGCGUGGGAGAGGGAAUGGGUGGAGAUGCAGUGGAUCUCGGGUGCCUAGAGGCUGACAGCGAUGGAGGCUUGGGCGAGCUCGGCCAUGGAGCUCCCGCGCGCAGGGAAGAAAAAGCUCCCUGCUGCCGACGCUGUGGAUAAGGGGGCGCUCCCAUGGGGGCCCUGCUCCUGCGAUGGCGUGCUGCUGCAUCCCAGGGAGCCGAGGGGGAAGAAUGGCGUUGUUGCUGGGUGGCCAUGGUUGGAGCAGAGAGACCCGCGCCCAUGGAGCAGGGAGGGCGUCGCUGGUGGCUGUUGCUGCCGUGAAGAAGAAGAGGCAGGGAAGAAAGAAGGUGGCGGCUGGGAAAAAUGGAGGGGUGGGAGUGCAAAAUUGCCUCCACUUGCAAGGAGAUGGCUCCUAUUUAUAGAGAGGCACUAGGGCUAGGGUUUUCUUAGUGGGCUGGGCCGGAUUUGGCCCAAAUACGUACUCGGGCCGCGCUAAUUUAUUUUUCGGAAUAAAAAUGCUCGUGCGGAAUUCGUCUGUACGCGGAACAGAGUGAAACAGAGUUCGGACGAACAGACAAUUGAACGAUUAAUUCGGCCGAGAGUUUGAUUUGAAUUCGCUCAGAAAUAAUUUCUCGCGCACUAUUUUAGAAAUAAAUGUUUCUCUCAGACUUCCGAUCGGCUUCGGAUUUUUAGUCGGAGAAACCGAAUCGUGACAAUUUAAAAUUGCUGUCGAUACGGGGUUUUGAAUUCGGUUCGGACAUGAGAUAUUUAGCUGAGUCGAGUAAGAAUUAAUUAGAGGACGACAUAUCGAGUAUUCCGUCUGAGAGUACGGAUCCAAAUAAAAUAGUCGGGCAUCAGUCGAAGGCCGAGGAAUUGGAUUUGGGCACAGCUCGACUAGCAACUGUCGAGCGUUUGAUUACAUGAGCUUUAGACGAGAUUUAUAAUUCGAGAAUGAUCUUCGAAUCUGCAUGAGUUCCGAGAAUUAAAAGUUUUAACAUGCUCCAAAAUUGGUUGUUUCUCGCGAUCGAUUAACUCCGAAUUCGGUGAACUUCCAUGAGAAGCCUGAUAGACAGAGAUAGACACGAUCGAGAAAUAGAAAUUUUCACUGAGCAUCCGAGAUCAGGAUAACUCCCCUGACAUAACGCGAAAUAGACACCUGGGGUGUCACACCUAUGCUUCUUACCAUGGCUUUAAACUUUAUCAAAUGGACGUGAAAAGUGCCUUCCUCAAUGGACCCAUCAAGGAAGAGGUCUAUGUUGAGCAACCUACCGGCUUUGAAGAUAGUGAGUACCCUAACCAUGUGUAUAAACUCUCAAAGGCGCUUUAUGGGCUAAAGCAAGCGCCAAGAGCAUGGUAUGAAUGCCUAAGAGAUUUUAUUAUCACUAAUGGCUUCAAAGUCAGAAAAGCUGAUCCUACACUCUUUACUAAAACUGUUGCAAAAGAUUUGUUUGUAUGCCAAAUUUAUGUUGAUGACAUCAUAUUUGGGUCUACUAACAAAUCAACUUGUGAAGAGUUUAGUAGGAUCAUGAUUCAAAAAUUCGAGAUGUCUAUGAUGGGGGAGUUGAAGUAUUUCCUAGGAUUUCAAAUCAAGCGACUCCAAGAUGGCACCUUCAUCAGCCAAACAAAAUACAUUCAAGACAUACUUCAGAAGUUUGGAAUGAAGGAUGGCAACCCCAUCAAGACACCCAUGGGAACCGAUGGGCAUCUCAACCUUGGCACGGGAGGUAAAUCCGUAGAUCAAAAGGUAUACCGGUCGAUGAUAGGAUCUUUACUCUAUUUAUGUGCAUCUCGAUCGGACAUUAUGCUUUCUAUAUGCAUGUGUGCAAGGUUCCAGGGAAAUCCUAAGGAAGUUCACCUUAGGGCCGUGAAGAGAAUCAUGAGAUAUUUAGUUUACACUCCUAAGUUUGGACUUUGGUACCCUAAGGGAUCCACUUUUGAUUUAAUAGGAUAUUCCGAUGCCGAUUGGGCAGGGUGUAAAAUUAAUAGAAAGAGCACAUCAGGGACUUGUCAGUUUCUAGGAAGAUCCCUGGUGUCAUGGGCUUCAAAGAAACAAAACUUCGUAGCUCUUUCUACCGCCGAAGCCGAGUAUAUUGCCGCAGGCCAUUGUUGUGCGCAAUUACUUUGGACGAGGCAAACCCUUAGGUACUAUGGCUACAAAUUGAGCAAAGUCCUCUCCUAUGUGAUAAUGAGAGUGCUAUCCACAUGGCGGAUAAUCCCGUUGAACACAGCCGCACUAAGCACAUAGACAUUCGAUAUCACUUUCUAAGAGAUAACCAACAAAGGUGGGGGGAUAUCGAAAUAGCUUAUGUAAACACCAAGAAUCAAUUAGCUGAUAUCUUUACCAAGCCAUUAGAUGAGAAAACCUUUAGCAAACUUAGGAAUGAACUAAAUAUACUUGAUUCUCGGAAUUUUGAAUGACACAUUGCACACAUAGCUUAUUUCUAUACCUUUGAUCAUAUUACUUUCAUUUGGUACAAAUACAUAUUUCUUAUUCCUCUUGUGCCAAGACUAUGACUAAUGUGUUUCCAACUGUAUUUCUAUACUAAGUUGUAGAUUGAAAGGGAAAUGGAGUAUUCGGUAAAGACAAGGCUUCCACUCCAACUCUGACGGUAUCACUUACCCUUUGCCAUUACUCAUAUAUCUCUCAAUUGGUAUAACAUUUCACUCAUAUUUCUUUACCAAUGGGAGAGAAAGUACAUUAGGGCUCCAAAGUACUCCGUUUUUUGCGAUUAAUACCAAAGGGGGAGAAAAUAUUAAGCCUAAAGCAAAAGGACCGCACCACCACCGCACCACCAGCAUUUCAAAUUUUUCGAAAUGAAGUUUUUAAUUGAUAUUCUUCAACUCGUACUUGAUACAAAUUGGUAUCCCUUGAAUUUCAAAUUGAUAUCUAUCUUAAAACCCUCUUGAAAGCUAAGAGGAGAAUUUCAUUCAGGGGGAGUUUUAUUUAGUCAAAGGAAAAGCAUUUGAAACAGGGGGAGAAAUUUCUAAUCUUGAAAAUGCAUUCUUGUAAUCUUAUUCAUAUACCUUUGACUAUUUGCAAAAAGACAUUGAAAAGAUUUUCCAAAAGAAUUUGCAAAAACAAAACAAGUGGUGGAAAGGUGGUCAAAAAUGUUAAAUAAAAGAAAAGCAAUCCAUUCAUAUCUAGUGAGAUUAUCAAUUGGUUUAAUUCCAAGUAACCUAUGCACUCUCCAAAAUGCAAACUAGUUCAUUUCUGCACAUUAUAUAUUUGCUUUGGUUUGUGUUGGCAUCAAUCACCAAAAAGGGGGAGAUUGAAAGGGAAAUAGGGUUAACCUUUUCCUACGAUUAAUUUUGGUGGUUGAAUGUACAACACAAACAUAUGGACUAACUAGUUUGCUCUAGAAUUUAUGUAUUACAUGUGCAUAAGGUUCAACAUAAACCAAUAAAAAGAAUCAAGUUAGGGACACAAAUUCAGCGGAGCAAAAGGAAUUGAGUGCGCUGAAGAAUGGCGCACCGGACUGUCCGGUGUGCCACUGGACAUUGUCCGGUACACCAGGGUCGUACAAGUUCCAACCAGCCACUCUCGGGAAUUUAACGACGCCCUCCGCUAUAAUUCAUCGGACUAUCCGGUGUGCCACCAGACUGUCCGGUGUGCCAGCAGAGCAACGACUAACUCAUGCAACGGUCGACUCUGACAGAAGCUACAGUGAGCAACAGUGCCACGCAGAAGUCAGAGCAGCGAAGCUAGAGGGGCACCGGACUGUCCGGUGUGGCACCGGACUGUCCGGUGCCGCAAGAGGACAAAGCCCCAAUAGUCGACUCGGCUCCGAACCCUAACGGUUAGGUGACGUGGCGGCGCACCCGACAUUGAAUAGUGUCUGUCCAGUGGCGCACCGGACUGUCCGGUGCGCCCAUCGCCAGCAGUCUCCCCAACAGCUAUCUUGGUGGUUGGGGGCUAUAAAUACCCCCAACCACCAUAACCUCAAGCAUCCAAGAUUUCUGAAGAUCACAUUCAAUACAAGAGCUCUAUCAUUCAUUCCUAGUCACAAUUUAAAAGAUCAAAGCCUCUCCAAUCCCAACUUCAUCUCAAACACUUAGUGACUUGUGUGAGAGAGAUUUCUUGUUCUUUUGAGCUCUUGCUUCUUGGAUUGCCUUUCUUCUUUUCUCAUUCUUACUCUCAAGUGCUUUGUAAGCGAGGCAAGAGACACCAAGUGUGUGGUGGUCCUUGCGGGGUCUUUGUGACUCGUGAGAUUAAGGAAGAAGGCUCACUCGGUCUAAGUGACCGUUUGAGAGAGGGAAAGGGUUGAAAUAGACUCGGUCUUUGUGACCUCCUCAACGGGGACUAGAUUCUUUGGAACCAAACCUCGAUAAAACAAAUCAUAGUGUUCAUUCGCUUGAUUCUCAUUUGAUUUGUUUUCCUCUCUCUCCCGGACUUGAUUUUAGUUCUAACGCUAACCCUGGCUUAUAGUGUGUGUUUAAAGUUGUAAAUUUCAGAUUACGCCUAUUCACCCCCCUCUACGCGACUUUCAAGAAGAGACCGCAGCCGACAGGUGGGGUCGGCAACACGCGACAGACUCGUGUGGUCCCCUGGCAAGGCACGGAUGUGCGGCGACGAAGGACCUGUGACCGACGAGUGGACCCGGUCCACCAGUGCCCCCACCGGAUCUCACUGUUGGGCUGCGUGGAAGGAACGUGAAUUGGGCCGAGGGGGAGGUUUUGAGCCCAUCGAAGGUUUUCCAUUUUCUUUUUUUCUGGUUUCCUUUUCUCAAAUUUUAGAAUUCAAAUUUAAACUCAAAUUUGGUUGGGAAUUUUUUUAUUCCUAAAUUAAUGUACAAUUCCAAGACCUCAGUAUGGACAAAGCUACCUACAUAUAUAAUUUUCUUUAUCUUCAUCAGUCCAAUAGGAAUAUGAUAGUUUCUGAACUGUGUGGUGAAUUAUGCCCAGGUGAUAUUAUUGGCAGCAUCAUGAGCAGCAAUGUAAGAAUCCCACCAAUCAGCAUCAGGACCAUUAAGAUGACCAGAAGCAUAAAACACCUUCUCCCGGUCAGAGCAUUGGGUGAUAUUCAAUAUCUUCUCCACUGACUUCAGCCAAUCAUCAGCGCGCAGAGGAUCUGGAGAGCUGGCGAAUGUCGGUGGCUUGUGACUCAUGAACUCCCGGUGGUUGUCCCGGGGUGGAACUGGUGGUGGCGGUGGAGGCAUUGGUGCUUGUUGCUGUCGUACCAUCCUCUCUUGCCUUAUUUCCUCAUGCAUCUCUUGCCUUUCCUAGCGCAUCUCUUGACGUUCCUGCCGCAUCUGAGUUUGCAUAUCCGUUAAAGUAUUUGCCAUCUAUUCCAGCAUCUGCAUCUGAGCUGCAACCACUAGAUCUGUCCUAGCCGGUGGAGGAUUCGAAGGGUCUAUUUCUGCUUGCUGUUGUCUAAUAAUCCUCCCUUCCUGGUAUUGACCAUCUGGUUAGAAACACAUGGUAAGAAAGAAUUGUAGGCAAGAAGAGUAAUUACGAGGCAGAAUCGUUUGGAUGUUUUAUUAGCUAAGUAGAUUAGUGUGUCACUUACUAAGGCUAAUACAUUACCUUAUGGUGGUACAUGCUAGAAUGCCCUGCUAUACUAUUUCAAUCAAUCAAAGAAGCAAAUCAGGCAUCUAUCAUCAGAACAAUCAUCCAAACACUUUAGAUAGAGAAAAUAAUUUUAAUUUUUUGUCUUAGGUCUCCUAUCUUUUUAGAGGGUUAUAAAUGUAGGAUUCCAAAGUGUGAAAUCAUCCUUGUCUUAGAAUAGAAAAUGUAAGAAUAGUCAGAGUAGAACAACAAAAGGUGAGACAAGAUCAAGAUAAGUAUACACAGAAUCAGAGUAAGGUAAGUAUGUAAGGGUUUUGUCCAGUUCUAUCUAGGUUUCAUCCUACAGUCAACAUUUCCUCAUAUACCACUCUUGUCACACCUGGAUUUAAGGGAUAAAGUCGGGUGCGUCUCAUAUGUGCGCCAAAAAAAGAACAUCACAUAUAAUGACAAAGUGUAUAGAGAUGAUUGUCACAAUAUCAUAAAUGUCAUUAUUACAUAGCGGAAGUCUUAUAAAAAUAAAUGAUAAUAAUAAAGCGAACUAAGUAUUAUUCUUUAGCGCCACAAAGCUGACUAGGAGACGCCACCUAGAUCAACUCGUACUCCUUAUUGUAUGGCUCCUCCUGGACCACCUUUUCUUCUCCUGUGGGGGGGGGGGUUACAUAUCGCAAGGAUGAGCUCACAAAAGAUCAUAGCUCAACAAGUUGUGGGGAAUAAUGUGCAUGAACUUACCAAAGGUGGGAGUUCAUGUGAAGUGUAAGGCUAAUCAACAAGUAAGGGUUAAAGCUGAUAAUUGCUUUUAACAGGUUGGUCAAGUUUUAUUAGUAGUUACUAAAUGUAAGUAGAUUCUAAACCAGAGUAAUAGUAGAUCAAAAUUUAUAAUAAAUCCCAAUACGAUGGAAAUGACAAAUUGAAUUUAAUUUCAUAAAUUAAUCAUGCAAGAGUCUUGAGCUGCUCAUGACCGCGAGCAUGACUAGUAUACCACUUUUACACUCUACAGAGGUUGUACCCUGUACCCACAAGUCAUGUAUCCCGUCCAGCCAAGGUUAGCUAAACCCUUAGACACUGCCGAGGUGAAUGACUAGGGAUCCACUACGAGGCAUUUACAAAGUUCCACUAGCUUAAGAAAACCCGCUACAGUUUCUAGAAAAACAAUGCAGGAAUCCCCCGUCUGACUGCCAUCGCAGCAAAAUCAACCCGAGAACCUCCCUAUACGCCUACUCCCCUACUGCCCUUUCCCCUUUCGCGUAAGGUAGUCCUCCACUAGCUUUCCUAGUUAGUCAACCAAGGGCGUCCCAUUCCACCCUUGUGGUGGCACAUGUUUCUCAAGUUAAGCUCGAUGUUCCAAUUAACAUAGUUGCCUUAUCAUGAACAAAAAUAGAACAAUAAUAAAGAAUGAUCAUGUGUAAUAGUUAUCUCAACACCCAAAACCAUAUAUAGCAAUAGCAAAAACUACCCAAAAGUUCAUGGGUAAACAAGGUGAAAAGAUAACCAGACUAGGGUGGCCUAUUGGGUCCCAUCAAAAUUAAGCCUAUGCAUGAUAAAAUGAUUAUAAAGAACAUUAUUGGGUAAAUAAAAGUGAUCAAGAGCACAACUUGCCUUCAAUGAGCUCCUGCUCAGCAAACCUGCUAAACACCUAGAUCCUUGGUCACUGGCUCGUCUACUCGCCAUAAUACAAACAAACAUGGUACAAGGGAGAAAUUAACAUCACACCAAACAUGAAUACAAAAUAAAUAAUAGUAAUCUACGCAUCAUAACGAGAUCAUAGGAACAAGAAUCUCUAAAUUCAGAGUUAUGGAUUUUAUGUUAUGAUUUUCCAAAGUAUUUAUGUGUUUGGUACAAAAUUAUCAAAGUGAUUAAUUUUAAUAUGGCUUUCAUGCUAGAACAGUUUUAAUAAGUGAUAAACAAUAUUAACACAAAAUUAUAGGAACUAGAAUGGAUUUGAAAGGAGCUAAAAUGAAUUUCCUAGGAUUUAAACAAGUUUCUGCAAUUAAUUUUGUAGAAAAAAAAUCAUUUUCUAAAUAAAUUUCUCUAUUUUAUUAAUUGUAUGAACUGCGCACAACAUUACCGAGAACUGCAGGGGGUGCACGGUAAAAUCCUGGACCUCUCCGUAACGAUCUUAAUACGGUCUUGAACCGCGGGUUCAUUUCUAUAUAGUUUAGGGGCUCAUGCAAAAAAGUGCACGGCCAAAACGGUAUCAACAGAUCUCGACCGUCCGAUCGGGAAUCAAGGGCUCAGAUUAGAAUCUGGCCACCACAAUCCGGUACGCAACAAGUGCCGUUCGAUCUCUAUACGACGCUCCAGAUUCAAUUAUGCCAAGAUCAACCCUCACCCGAUCGAUUCGAUCGGAUGGCGCACGUUACUCCGGCUGAAACGGUAUCAGCCAUCAAAUCCAGACCGUAGAUCAUGAGAUCUACGGAUCCGACCUCGCCUACCCGUAUCUGAUCUAAGCCGCACGUUGCCAGAUCUACGAUGCUGGUAUCUCUCCCUGACCCGACUCUCUUGCGCGCGGCGGUGACCGGUGAAGGCUCCGCACGGCGGCGAGCCGCCAGCAAACUACCCAACUGGUUGGCUCGAGGUACGCCCAACUUCAAAUCCGGUGAAAAAGGAAGCGCGAGGUGAAACUAUCCAGGGGCUUACCGACGACCGAGGAGAUGGUGGGUGAGCCGGCACGACCCGCAGUGGCCGGACACGGAGAUCCCACGACGGCGGCGAGUUCCCGACCAGCCGAGCACCCACCAUACACGGCAACACCUCGCGCGAGACCCUUCAACGCGACCAAAGCUCCUGAAUUCGCCCCCGAGACUUGAGACGUGGCGAUAUCUCCACCCAGCUACUCUCUCCGGACUUGCUGUCAAUGGCUAUUUCUGGUGGCGGCGCUUUCCUUUUUCUUGUGGCGGCAGAAGGAGGAGAGGGCAAAGGAGAAAGCAAGAGGGUCCUUAGCCCGCUUUUGAAGCAAAGGUGAGGUGCAGUCGUGGUUAGCGGAGGUGUCGCGUGCUCAACCACCCGCCCGAGAUGCG
rnacentral:lncRNA from 1 species